GUUGGUUUCUAAGAUUGACGUAAUGAUUAAUAGGGAUAGUUGGGGGGCAUUAGUAUUCAAUUGUCAGAGGUGAAAUUCUUGGAUUUAUUGAAGACUAACUAUUGCGAAAGCAUUUGCCAAGGAUGUUUUCAUUAAUCAAGAACGAAAGUUAGGGGAUCGAAGACGAUCAGAUACCGUCGUAGUCUUAACCAUAAACUAUGCCGACUAGGGAUCGGGCGGUGG
rnacentral:rRNA from 1 species